GUGUGUGUGUGUGUGUGUGUGUGUGUAGGUAUAUAUAUAUAUAUAUAUAUAUAUAUACGUACACACCUAUAUAUAUAUAUAUAUAUAUACAUACACACACACACACACAA